rnacentral:rRNA from 1 species
UACGUAGGCAGCGAGCGUUGUUCGGAAUUACUGGGCGUAAAGAGUGUGUAGGCGGUGCUCUAAGUUCGGUGUGAAAUCUCCUGGCUCAACUGGGAGGGUGCGCCGGAAACUGGAGUGCUUGAGCGUGGGAGAGGAAAGCGGAAUUCCUGGUGUAGCGGUGAAAUGCGCAGAUAUCGGGAGGAACACCGGUGGCGAAGGCGGUUCUCUGGGCCUUACCUGACGCUGAGGAGCGAAAGCGUGGGGAGCGAACAGG